GAUAACAUUAUCUUCCUUUAUAGGGCCGUUGUGGAGAAUUGAAUGAGAUAAUCCAGGCAUCAUCUUCUCUGAAUAAAGAAAGUAAUGAAGAAGAGCAAGUGUGGCACUUUCUUGGCAAGUGAUGGUAACAUUUGAAGUUCUGCUAUCAAGAUUCCAAUCUCUAAGGACUUCCAGACUCUUGUCUCCUGCAAGUGCUAGCAACAGGAAAUCUAUGAGAAUUUGCUGACUUUCUGUUGAAAAUUUUUGUUUUCAAACUUUCUGAGAUAUGCACUGUGUAAAUAAACACUGGAAUUUUUGCAUUAG